CCUACGGGAGGCAGCAGUGAGGAAUAUUGGUCAAUGGGCUUACGCCUGAACCAGCCAAGUCGCGUGAGGGAAGACUGCCCUAUGGGUUGUAAACCUCUUUUGUCAGGGAGCAACGCCGGCUACGUGUAGCCGGACUGAGAGUACCUGAAGAAAAAGCAUCGGCUAACUCCGUGCCAGCAGCCGCGGUAAUACGGAGGAUGCGAGCGUUAUCCGGAUUUAUUGGGUUUAAAGGGUGCGUAGGCGGAAUGCCAAGUCAGCGGUAAAAGCGCGGGGCUCAACCUCGUUCAGCCGUUGAAACUGGCGUUCUUGAGUGGGCGAGAGGUAUGCGGAAUGCGUGGUGUAGCGGUGAAAUGCAUAGAUAUCACGCAGAACUCCGAUUGCGAAGGCAGCAUACCGGCGCCCAACUGACGCUGAAGCACGAAAGCGUGGGUAUCGAACAGGAUUAGAUACCCCGGUAGUC
rnacentral:rRNA from 1 species